CUUUACUGUAGCUUUACAUUGGACUUUGAACAGAUCUGUGUAGGAUAGGUGGGAGGCUUUGAAGCAUGAACGCUAGUUUGUGUGGAGCCGACGUUGAAAUACCACCCUGGUGUGUUUGAGGUUCUAACCUUGGCCCGUUAUCCGGGUUGGGGACAGUGUAUGGUGGGCAGUUUGACUGGGGCGGUCUCCUCCCAAAGUGUAACGGAGGAGUUCGAAGGUACGCUAGAUACGGUCGGAAAUCGUGUUGAUAGUGCAUUGGCAUAAGCGUGCUUGACUGCGAGACUGACAAGUCGAGCAGGUACGAAAGUAGGACAAAGUGAUCCGGUGGUUCUGUAUGGAAGGGCCAUCGCUCAACGGAUAAAAGGUA
rnacentral:rRNA from 1 species